GGCAAGGAAAUGGAAGGGAGAUGACAGAGAGAUGGAAGGGAGGGUCUGGCAUGGUUGUAAUCAGAGUCUGUGCCACGCAGCGAAAAUAAUAAUAAUAAAUCCAAAUAGAAAAAUCAGGCAGCAGCCUAGGACAGCUAUGUGCAGACUGGAAACAGACACACAGACAGGGAGAUGGGAGUGGCUUUCUAAGCUACAGCAGAGUUCAGCCUGUCAGUCAGUGCUGUGACCAUUUCCUGUGAGAGAACAGACACUCCCACACCUCAUUUCAGCCAAGCUUCUGACCUGAGAGGUUCUCAUUGCAGCUCUGAUGUAAUGACACUUUUAGCAGCUGUACUUGCUCAUGAUGCGAGUGAAAGCCAUAACUGCUGAAUAUGAACAGUGGCAGAAGAGAACACCUGAAAUAAUAUCUGACAACCAGGAUGUUCUGCUAGCUGUUGGAAAAGAAGAGAGAGCAAAACUGGAUUGGAUGGUAAACAGAAAAUAGUUGAUGCUCUUGCCUCCAGACAAGAUGAGCGGAAAAAUCAACUUUCUCCAUUUUCAGAGAAAAGAGCCAUUCUGGGAAAAAACCUGUCCCACUGAUGAAGCUACAUGACAUUUCAGAGAUCCUCAUAAACAAACUGAUGACCACUCCACAUGAUCCAUAUCUUGUCCUUGAACCGCAUCACUUGCCUCCGUACAUUGAAAUGCUCCUGCGUUAUGGCAUUGCACUGAGACACCCAGAAGACCCAAAUAGAAUCCGGUUAGAAGCUUUUCACCAGUGACUGACAACUGGCACCACUCAUACAAAAAUGCCACUAUCUGUGACAAACAUUUUAGACCAAGCUGGUUCAAAUUAACGACAUUAUAUUUAAUGUCUGUGUCUGUGUAGGCAGUCUGUGCCUGAGCCAGUAGGGGGCGUAUCUCCUUGUGAAUGCUAGACUGUGACAGCCUGGAAUACCCUUACAAACAGCCUAUCACAGCCUCGUAGUUGCUGCAUUUCACUGUGCGCUGGCUAAUGGAUGCACUGCUCAAACUCCAGGAGCAGGGUCAGUUGGUGAGAUCAGGUAGCAGUGGGAUGGGUACAGGACAUGUAAUAAAUCUAUACAUAAUUUCCCAUGACGUGGGCCAGUCAGCUAUUAAAGGGGUGGUUCACCUUCCAACACUUUUUUCAGUUCAGUUGGUUUCAGAUUGUUCACCAGAAAUAAAGACUUUUUC